UAAUUAUUAAGUGGCUACAUAAUUCCAGAAUCUAUGGAGGCAUUAUUGAGGCAAGAACUGUACAAAGCAUUGGGGGGACAAAAAUGGGAAGGAGUUAUAGAGAUGUACAAGAGGCAUCCACAGAUUCAGGCGGCGAAGAUCGCCAAAUCGCAAGACACUGCUUUGCACGUGGCUAUCAGUCUGGACGCACCAGAAAACAUCAUUAUAAAGCUGGUCGAUUAGAUUGAGAAUGCCAACGUUAACGACAUCCAAGUUGCCAGACAAACCUUGGAAGCUACGAAUGAGCAACAAGACACUCCUCUGCACUGUGCAGCCACGCGAGGUUCUGCCUCCAUAUGUGAACGAAUACUACGCGUUCAUCGAGACUUGGCUUCGAAACCUAACAAGCAAGGAGAGACGCCUCUUUUCCUUGCCGCUCUCAACGGCCGCAAACAUACCUUUCUCUUUCUUCAUAGGGUUUGCAGUCAGAUGCAGAACACCACUUCAUUGUGGAGGAGGACAGACGGUGACACUAUACUUCACUGCACAAUUCAAAGAGAAUACUUUGAGCUUGCACUUCAGAUCAUUCAUCUGUACAAAGACCAGAAGAUCGCUGGUGUUAAAGGUAAAGAUGGAGAUACUCCUCUUCUUGUCCUUGCCUCCAUUCCUUCCGCUUUCAAAGGGGGCACUCCCAUGUCUUUGUGGCAAAGCCUUUGUUACAGUUGCAUUAGAGAAGAAGAUCUGAAAAUAGAUACUGAAGUGGAUGGCCAAGUUUGUCUGGCCGUUGGAAAUUCUACCUCGUUGGAAGGUGAUGAUGAUCCAAGAAAGAGCCGAGGGUCAAUAAGGAAAAUGAAAGAGAAACAUGUAUGGAGUGCCCAGAUUGUGGAACAACUCUUACAACUAACUUCUGAGUAUGACUACAGCGAAGAAGAGCGUCAUCAGGAGGAUAAACAGAACCAGCAAGACGCACAAGGUAAAUUAGAAAAUAGUAAUAAACAACCUCCAUGUAUCUUAUAUAUGAAGGACCAGUUGGCAGGAAAAACUUCGGCAAAGGACAAAAAAAACGACAGCAUUGUUAGCGGCAACAAAGAAUGGUCUGCUGGAACUGGUAAAGAAAAUACUUAAAGCUUAUCCGGUGGCAAUCUACGACAAAACCGACCCAAAGAGAAGAAACAUAGUUCUUUUGGCUGUAGAAAAAAGGCAAACCCAUGUUCUCAAGUCACUGAUGAAUGACCCGCUUUGGCAUACACUCAGAGAGGAUGUGGAUAUCGAUGGAAAUAAUGUAUUGCACCUGGCCUCCUAUCAACUCAAUCAUAUGCCUUGGCAUGUUCAUGGCUCUGUCAUGCAAAUGCAAUAUGAAGCCCUCUGGUUUAAGUACGUGAAAGACAACAUGCCAGCUCACCUCUGUUAUCAAAUAAACAAAGAAGGCAAAACUCCAGAUGAGAUAUUCUCAGAAGAGCACGAGAAGCUCCUCAAGGAAAGCAACGACUGGCUCAGGGACGCUUCUGGUUCGCACGCUGUUGUUGCAGCACUUAUUGUCAGUGUCACCCAUGCCGCAUCGUCCACUGUCCCUGGAGGCACUGAUGACGCAGGAAAACCUCGCUUACGUGGCAAGCUUGCUUUCGACAUUUUCGUUUUCUCCGUUCUGGUUUCGUUCUGCUCCUCCAUCUCUUCCUUGGUAGCUUUCGUUGCUGUCUUGAGUUCUCGAAAGCAACCCGUUGAUUAUCUUCGAAGCUUGCCUCUGAAGCUUUGUUUUGGCAUGACUACUUUCUAUCUGUCCGUUGUGUCAUUGUUGGUCUCUUUCUGCGCUGCGACUUUCUUUGAACUUGAUCAGAGAAUCAAGCAAAAGAUUAGCCCUUAUGCGUUGAUGCUCAUACCUCUGUGGCUGUACACUUAUGAACAGAUUCCACUGUACUGGAAUCUUCUCAAAUCCACUUGUUCCAGCGAGCCUCUUCCAAGAUACGUGGGAGACAAUGUUACCAUGUAGAUCGAGAGAAUUGCACGUUUCUUAUUUGUAUUUCGUUCUUUUUUUUUUUUAAUCAUCUUGUGAUUUCUUGUAUGCAGCAGAAGCUUGAAAGUUUCUAUUUUUUUUUAAAUUUGUUGCAAAAUCUACUUUUUGAAAA